UCUCUGCUGCCUGUGUAUGGUUGAGAUGUGAUCAGCCGGCUUCCUGCUCUGGCUCCUCAUUGCCAUGCUUUCUCUUCCACAACGAGCUCAACCUUCAGGAGACACAAGCCAAAUAAACCCUUUCUCCUUUAAGCAGCUUUUGGUAAGAAUACUUUAUCCCCGCAACCAGGAAGUGAGACAAAGAGAUGGAUGCCGAAGGAGCCCUGCUUCCUCCCCGGACUUUCAUCAUGGAGGGGUUCAGAAAAAUGUAAACACCAAGCAAGCCACAGAACCUUCGACUCAUAAUCUGUCCUGCCUGCAAGACACGCUGGGGCAAUGACAGCAUGGAGCGUGUGAGAGCAGUCAACCGAAGUCUGAUUUGACUGAAAGAGAUGGAGCCCAUACCUAGCCUUGACUGGGUGUCCAAGAGCCAGACGCUGGAUAGCCCAGAGACGUAGGCUAAAACCAAACCACUACUUCUCUAAAAAAAUGUAUCAAUAAAAUGACUCCUAGUAAUAUUGUGCUAUACUUAUA